rnacentral:rRNA from 1 species
GAUGAACGCUAGCGGCAGGCUUAAUACAUGCAAGUCGAGGGGCAGCACAGAUAGCAAGAUUGGGUGGCGACCGGCAAACGGGUGCGGAACACGUACACAACCAUCCUUUUAGUGUGGGAUAGCCCAGAGAAAUUUGGAUUAAUACCACAUAGUAUAUUGGAGUGGCAUCACUUUGAUAUUAAAGAUUUAUCGCUAAAAGAUGGGUGUGCGUAUGAUUAGGUAGUUGGUAGAGGUAACGGCUCACCAAGCCUUCGAUCAUUAACUGGUGUGAGGGCACGACCAGUCACACGGGAACUGAGACACGGGCCCGACUCCUACGGGAGGCAGCAGUAAGGAAUAUUGGUCAAUGGACGGAAGUCUGAACCAGCCAUGCCGCGUGAAGGAUGACGGCCCUCUGGGUUGUAAACUUCUUUUAUGUGGGACGAAAAAGGGCCAUUUUUGGUCAACUGACGGUACCAUAGGAAUAAGCACCGGCUAACUCCGUGCCAGCCGCCGCAGUAA